ACUUCUUUGUUGAAUUUGGGAUGGACAGUGGAUAUCACAAAAAAUAUACAUCCAGUUCAUCCAAAGUGCAGGUAACUGUUUUAUUCAGACAUAUAUGAUUAAUCAUCAUUCAUCAAUAUGUGAACUCCAUUGAGCAAGUAUAUUGUAAAGUCAGAACUAAAAAGAGGAACAUUUGGUUCCACCAUUUCACCUUAUUAUGUACUAAGGGGAAGUAUUUAGAGAUUGAAUUGAUGGCAAUUACUUCAGUCUUUAAACCUGUUAUUAGUGUUGAUAAUGUUGAUUCCAUUCAGCUCUGUUUUUUUCUGCCCACCGAAUCAUUCGUUCCUCGCGCGUGUGCGAUUCUGACGAUGUGUCAUGGUGGUGCCUGCGAUUUCAGGCGUCGGAGAAGAAGCAGUCGAACCCGAUGCGGGAGAUGAAGGUCCAGAAGCUUGUGCUCAACAUCUCCGUCGGCGAGAGCGGUGAUCGCCUCACCCGCGCCGCCAAGGUAUAUAUGCCCAUUCCCCAGAAUACUUCUCUGUAGGUUCUACCUGCUGUUUCUUUCAGUUCGUUCCGCGCUCGUGUGACCUAGAGCAAAUGUGUUUGAGUCGCAUCUAGUUGUGCCCCACUAGUCCACUUCCAUUUUUAUGAGAAUUAGUUCUGCACUGCAGCCUAAUCUCAGCUCCUCAAGCUGUCCAAUCUCCUGUGUUGUUGACACCACUUAAAUUGUGCCAUCCAAAUGCUAAGUAGUAAUAUGAUUGUUUUCAACAUCAGCUGUGGUUAGUUAUUGUUCCCAUAAUUUCAAUUAGAGACUGAUCAAUGGUCCCAAUUUUGCUUUUAUUUCUUAGCUGUGUGAAUAGCUCGAAUAUGGUAUUGCUUUGGAUUUGGCAGCAGCCAGCAAGGUUGUUCAGGCUUGAGUAGGUCGAUGAAGUGGUUUUGCAGAAGUUUUAAGUCCCCAUUUUCUGACCAAAACGGAACUGAUGGUGGGGCCAGUCUGAUCCCUUUAUCAAAGCCAGUAGUCACAUAGCAGCAGUAGACCAUUCAAGUGCUCAGGUGUCUUUCUCUUUGUGGCUUACAGGCUAUCAUCAGUACAGCACCUUACUCAUCUCGUAUCUUCUGUUUUAAACUAUAUUAUGUAAACAGUGCAAGCGAUGAGUGAAGGGUGACUAAUAGGCUUCUUUAAUCAGCACUGCAAUAUCUUUUGUUGAAUUAACCUAUACUCACUUCAUUUUAUUUAUAUAAUACAGUCCAUUUAGCAAAUUUUGUUUGAUGUGCAGUGACACGACCUUGACAGUCAAGAUGCUCUUUCAGGAGAUGGUCCCAGAUACUUUACAUGGUUCUGUUGGACACAAUGAAGCCAUCCAGAUAUGCUAUUAAAAAUCCUGCUAGUCAUUAUGGCUUUAAACUGUACCAUGUCUGUUCUAUUUUCAGCUAGGCAGAGCAUGUUCUAUUUACAGCAGGCCAGCAGACACCAGGCAGUAAGGUGAUGUAUGAGUCAAUUAUCAGGAUGGAAAUGUUUUUUGGCAGCUUUCUCAGUGAAUCAGUAUCACCGCAGAACCUUUUUGGACACCCAGAUGUCGAGAGAUGCCCAUUCCUGAGGAAUAUCAAUGGAGCUACAACCUUUUCCCUCUCUUCUGCUUUGCCAGUAGCUGCUCAAGGAGGCAAGGGUCCAAUUUUUGAGGAAGGGUCAGGCUUUGAGUCAGCAUUCAAGCUUUUCCAUGGUCGAGAUGGAAUAGUUCCCCUUUCAGAAAGAUCAUAUGUAUCUUCUGAUGAAAACCGCAAUGAGAGCAUUGACGUCAAGUUAUAUACUUAGUUAGGCUCAAUUUAGAGUACACUUAUGUAGAGUACACUUAUUUAUAUUGAACCGUUGGAGUUCAUACAUAUGUAUCAAGUUAUAUACUUAGUUAGGCUCAAUGUUAUGUUAGCAUAAACAGUUGAUGAUCAACUUUAAAUUUAGAGUACACUUAUGUAUGAGUUAUUUGACAAUGCUUAUUUAUGAGAUAUUGAAUGUUAUUUAUCUAUAUUAUAUUAAUAAUAGUGUUAUUAAAUA